CCCCCGGGGAGCGCCAGCAGGCGCUGAGAGUGCGGAAGGUCCGCAGACCCGUCAACCUGAUCCGGUUCGUACCGGCGUAGGGAGCAG
rnacentral:ncRNA from 1 species